rnacentral:rRNA from 1 species
AUUGAACGCUGGCGGCAUGCCUUACGCAUGCAAGUCGGACGGCAGCGCGGGCUUCGGCCUGGCGGCGAGUGGCGAACGGGUGAGUAAGACAUCGGAACGUGUCCUGGAGUGGGGGAUAGCCCGGCGAAAGCCGGAUUAAUACCGCAUACGCUCUGUGGAGGAAAGCGGGGGAUCUUCGGACCUCGCGCUCAAGGGGCGGCCGAUGGCAGAUUAGGUAGUUGGUGGGGUAAAGGCCUACCAAGCCGACGAUCUGUAGCUGGUCUGAGAGGACGACCAGCCACACUGGGACUGAGACACGGCCCAGACUCCUACGGGAGGCAGCGGUGGGGAAUUUUGGACAAUGGGGGCAACCCUGAUCCAGCAAUGCCGCGUGUGUGAAGAAGGCCUUCGGGUUGUAAAGCACUUUUGUCCGGAAAGAAAUCCUGAUGGCUAAUACCUGUUGGGGAUGACGGUACCGGAAGAAUAAGCACCGGCUAACUACGUGCCAGCAGCCGCUGUAACAC